GGGGCGGUUCGUUUGAAAGUCAGCAGCGACAAAUGCGACGCGGGGUGGACUCGCCCCGUCUCCUCCUUCCGCACCCCCCUUUUCCCUCCAUCCAAUCCAGGCCUUCAUUGCCUGAGCCGAACCUCCCAUCCACCACCUCCUCCCUCCGCCGCCCCUGGACCUCCCUCCCAGCGAGUCAAUCGCCCACAACACACGCGGUUCGUUCUUACUGGUUUCCAGGAGGGAGGUGUUUUUUUCCCAUUUUCUUUGUGUGUGUUUGCGCUGCUGCCUUCUUAUCAAGUCUUCUUGCACGUCCUUCUCUUCUCUCCCGGAUUCAUGCUUGGCGAUAUUUAGACUGUUUUCGUCUGAGAUUCUUUCUGCCUCCUGCGUUCUUGGUCCCCGGCCAGCAGUCGGCAAUAUCGCUCUGUCGAUCCUCCUGAUACUUCGUCUUCCAUUGGUUUUUUAAUCCCAUGUGAGCAGCAGCAGUAAGAAGAGGAUCUGAUUCGAUCGGAGGAGACCUAGUGACGCCGCCAAAUCGAAUCGAAUUUCUUGGCAACAGCAACAGUAACAAAAACUAGAUUCUGGAUUCGUCCCAUUUUUUGCACUAGGGAAAUAAAAUGAGGCUGGUGGUACGCGUCAUCGAGGCGCGGGGCCUCCCGCCCACGGACGCAGACGGGACGCGGGACCCCUACGCCAAGGCGCAGCUCGGGAAGCAGCGGGCCAAGACCAAGGUGAUGCGCAAGACGCUCUGCCCCGCCUGGGACGAGGAGUUCGCCUUCCGGGUCGGGGACCUCAGGGACAACCUCCUCGUCUCCGUGUUCCACGAGGACCGCUACUUCGCCGCCGACGUCCUCGGCCAGGUCAAGUUGCCCCUCACCGCCGUGCUCGACGCCGACAACCGCACGCUCGGAACGCAGUGGUACCAACUGCAGCCCAAGAGCAAGAAGUCCAAGCUCAAGGAUUGCGGAGAAAUUCGUCUCAACGUUUCUCUGGCUCAAAACUACUCUGAAGAAGAGACGACGGCACCUGCACAUUGGGCCUCAGAUGACCUUGCAUCAAAUUCAGACAAAUCAACUGAAUUGGUGAAAGGAUCUUCUUUGCUGAAUGUUCCUAUUGAAGUAUCCACAGCAGUACCAGAGAUCUAUGAGAUAGAAGCUGCCGAGGAGGAUAAAUCAAACGCUGCUCCAUCAUUUGUCAACAAGCUAUAUCAAAUGUUUAAUAGUAAACCAAAAGAUACAGAAGCUUCUGCCCCACUUCCCUCCAAGCUGAACGACCCUUCAGAUAUUGCCGAAGAAACACUGUCAACCAGCUCUGAAGCUCCUGAGAAGCAGGAUCAUGAUGUCAGUGCAACUAUGACCUUUGAUGAGCUACUAAAGGCCUUCGGUUCUCAGCAUGAAGGGAAAGAAAUGCCUGAAAAUUUGUCUGGUGGAGUUGUUCUUGAUCAAGUUUAUGCUGUUGCACCGAGUGACCUGAACACACUUCUUUUCUCUCCAAGUUCAGACUUUCUGCAGUCACUUGCGGAGAUUCAAGGAACUACAGGUCUUGAAAUUCAACAAUGGCGACUUGAAAAUGACGGUGAAAUCCUGAGGAGGGUGGUAAGCUACACAAAAGCUCCUACCAAACUAGUUAAGGCCGUGAAAGCAACAGAGGACAUGACAUAUUUGAAGGCAGAUGGAGAGAUGUUUGCAGUUUUUGCAGAUGUUAGUACUCCUGAAGUUCCUUUUGGCAAUACUUUCAGAGUGGAGGUUUUGACCUGUAUAAUGCCAGGACCUGAACUACGAGGUGACGAAAAAUCUUCACGUCUUAUGGUCUCUUGGCACAUAAAUUUUGUCCAAAGUACCAUGAUGAAGAGCAUGAUUGAAAAUGGAGCCAAACAAGGCUUGAAGGAUAACUAUGUUCAGUUCUCUGAGCUGCUGGCUAAACAUUGUAGGCCAGUUGAUACAAAAGAUACAACUAGCAGUAAUGAAGUGCUUUCUUCUGUGCAACCAGAGCAAGAAUCUGACUGGAAGCUAGCUUUUCGAAUAUUUGGAAAUUUCGCACUUUUGUCCUCAGUUUUUGCAUUUUUUUAUGUUUCUGCACACAUCAUCCUUGCAAGCCCUAGUAUAAUUCAAGGUCUUGAGUUCCCGGGCCUGGACCUGCCAGAUUCUGCUGGUGAAGUUGUAGUUUGUGGAGUUCUUGUUCUACAAGGACAGCGUGUGCUAAAUAUGAUUGCACGAUUUAUCCAGGCGAAGAGGCAGAGAGGUGAUCAUGGAGUCAAAGCACAAGGGGAUGGCUGGUUGCUGACUGUUGCUCUGAUGGAGGGAACCAACUUGGCAGCAACCAAAUCAUCUGGUUACUCUGAUCCAUAUGUUGUAUUUACAUGCAAUGGGAAGACAAAGACAAGUUCGAUUAACUUUCACACCCUUGACCCUCAGUGGAAUGAAAUUUUUGAAUUUGACGCCAUGGAAGAUCCUCCAUCAGUGAUGAAAAUACAUGUGUAUGAUUUCGAUGGACCCUUUGACGAAGUUGCAUCCCUUGGUCAUGCUGAAGUGAAUUUCUUGAAAUAUAAUAAUAUAUCCGAGCUUGCUGACAUUUGGAUUCCUUUGAAAGGAAAGCUGGCUCAAGCAUGCCAGUCAAAAUUGCAUCUAAGAAUCUUCUUAAACAAUACAAGGGGUACUGAAGUCGUGAAGGAUUACCUGGAUAAAGUGGAGAAAGAAGUUGGCAAAAAGAUUGCUAUGAGGUCUCCUCACACAAACUUAGCAUUCCAGAAAAUCUUUUCUUUGCCACCAGAAGAAUUUCUUAUCAAUGAUUUUACUUGUCACUUAAAGAGGAAAAUGCUAACACAGGGUCGUAUUUUUCUAUCUCCAAGAAUAUUUGGGUUUUACACAAAUCUUUUUGGCCACAAAACAAAAUUCUUCUUUCUUUGGGAAGAUAUUGAAGACAUCCUACUGGUCCCUGCAACCCUGUCUUCCAUGGGAAGUCCGUCUCUGGUUAUUAUUCUUCGAAAGGACAGAGGAAUGGAUGCAAAGCAUGGAGCAAAGCAACUGGACAGUCAAGGGAGACUAAAGUUCCAUUUCCAGUCUUUUGUUUCAUUCAAUGUGGCACAUAAAACAAUUACAGCACUGUGGAAGGCAAGGUCCUUAACCCCUGAACAAAAGGUACAGCUUGUAGAAGAGGAAUCAGAAACAGAAGACUUCCAAAAUGAGGAGGGAGAAUCUUUGUUAGGGAUAGAGGAUGCCAAAAUGUCAGGAGUUUUUUCAUGUACAAAACCUUUUGAUGUAUCAACACUAAUGGGCAUAUUUGAGGGUGGUCCUUUGGAGUGCCGGGUGAUGGAGAAAGUUGGCUGUAUGGACUACUCUGUUACAGCAUGGGAACCUGUCAGAGCUGAUAUUUACCAGAGGCAAGUUCAUUAUAAGUUUGACAAGAAAUCAGCACGGCACGGAGGAGAAGCAAUGAGCACCCAGCAAAAGUCCCCUUUGUCUAAUAAGAAUGGCUGGCUUGUUGAAGAAGUGAUGACACUUGAAGGUAUCCCUGUUGGCGAAUGUUUCAAUGGGGGCACAACUCUUCGGUGAUGUGCGAGGAGCGGCAGAAUUCUGUUGCUCGGGUGGGGAGUGCGGCGUCCCCCCCAACCAUGAUGGAGGUGGAUGGCUCAAAUUUGUCGGCCAACACUGCUGCUCUUGAACCAUCUCUGCUUCUUUCUGAGCUUGUGCAGCAUUUUGAUCAACCACUGUCCAAAGGAAAGAUUGAGGCCAUCAAGAACCUGCUGGAAAAUGGGAAGCAGUUGAAGAAGAAGGCCAGGGGCACCAAAGUCGCGCCAGCUGUUCUGGCUUGCCCAUCUGCGCUGGGCUAAUGUUGGAGCUGGCUCAUUAGGGUCGUCUUCCUAUAUUUAUCCAUGUUACAGUCUGCUGGAGUGUUGAUAAUGGUUAUGUGUCAGGGUCUGUUCCCUUUUGGUAGUUUUAAAACUAGGCCUUCCUACAAGUGUGUGGAACGUAGUAAGGUGUCAGCUUGGGGGGAGCAAAAUCAGUUUCUCCCUCCCUUCCUGUCUUGUUUCUGUCCCUGGCUUUGUACUUGGUCUUCUGCGGCCAGCCUCAUGGGAAUUGGGUCAGUCUCUUUGGCCUUGUUGAUGUUGGUGGAUUUUUUUUCUUUAAAUGUCGCAAUCAAAUUGUAAGGUGCUAUGCUGGAAUGUGAGAGCUCUAAAUGACGCUGCCAAGCGGGCGAGUGUAC